AUUCCAGCUCCAAUAGCGUAUAUUAAAGUUGUUGCAGUUAAAAAGCUCGUAGUUGAAUUUCUGUACAGUCCCGGUUCUGGCUUCGGUCAAGCCGUGGAUUGUGCAUCCGCUUGCAAAUCUAGCUCGGCCUUCACUGGUCGACUAGGGGAGUAAGCCCUUUACUUUGAAAAAAUUAGAGUGUUUCAGGCAGGCAAUGGCUCGAAUACAUUAGCAUGGAAUAAUGGAAUAGGACUUUUGUCCAUUUGGUUGGUUAUUGGACAUGAGUAAUGAUUAAAAGGGACAGUUGGGGGCAUUAGUAUUUAAUAGUCAGAGGUGAAAUUCUUGGAUUUAUUAAAGACUAACUUAUGCGAAAGCAUUUGCCAAGGAUGUUUUCAUUA
rnacentral:rRNA from 1 species